rnacentral:rRNA from 1 species
GACGAACGCUGGCGGCGUGCUUAACACAUGCAAGUCGAACGCUGAAGCCCAGCUUGCUGGGUGGAUGAGUGGCGAACGGGUGAGUAACACGUGAGUAACCUGCCCCCUUCUUUGGGAUAACGCCCGGAAACGGGUGCUAAUACUGGAUAUUCACUGGCCUUCGCAUGGGGGUUGGUGGAAAGGUUUUUUCUGGUGGGGGAUGGGCUCGCGGCCUAUCAGCUUGUUGGUGGGGUGAUGGCCUACCAAGGCUUUGACGGGUAGCCGGCCUGAGAGGGUGACCGGUCACAUUGGGACUGAGAUACGGCCCAGACUCCUACGGGAGGCAGCAGUGGGGAAUAUUGCACAAUGGGCGAAAGCCUGAUGCAGCGACGCCGCGUGAGGGAUGACGGCCUUCGGGUUGUAAACCUCUUUCGCUCAUGGUCAAGCCGCAACAAUGGUUGUGGUGAGGGUAGUGGGUAAAGAAGCGCCGGCUAACUACGUGCCAGCAGCCGCGGUAAUACGUAGGGUGGCGAG